rnacentral:lncRNA from 1 species
ACACCUAAAAAUAUGCUAUUUAUUUAGUUAAUUUACUAUUAUAUUUUAUAUGUUUUUAUUUCGAUUCCGAAGUUUUAUUAUAUAAAUAGUUACUUAUUUCUCAUAUUUUAAAUAAACAGAUAAAAAGUGUACGAGUUGAAGAAAGGAGCGAAAACGGACUAAAAAGGAGCAAGAAUGGACAAAAAUGGGCCACACAAGUGCAGCCAAGCCACACAAGUGCAGCCCAAGCCACGAGCCAGCCAAGCCCACAUGGAAAACAAGAUGGCGCCCGCCAGCAAGGAGCAAAUGGCGCCCGCCAGCUUGCACCAAGUGGCCCUCGCCACUUCCUCUUCAUCAUGGCCGUCCAUCAGAUCAAACGGUGAUGCGCUAUUAAGCUAAAAGUCCCACAUCGGCCAAAUUCUGUCUUUUCCUCUUUGUAUUUUAGUAUAAAUAGGCUAGUUCUCUUCACUCAAAAACAUAACACUUGAC